rnacentral:ncRNA from 2 species
ACCAUCACAAAGGGGAGCCUUUUUAAGGCUGAGAAUAAGCACAGGCUUAGACCCUUCGAACCUGAACUUGUUAAUACUUGCGUAGGGAUUGUGAUGGAGUAAUAA